UACGUAGGUGGCGAGCGUUGUCCGGAUUUACUGGGCGUAAAGAGCGCGCAGGCGGUCGUACAAGUCGCGUGUGAAAGCCCCCCGGCUCAACUGGGGAGGGUCACGCGAUACUGUUCGACUCGAAGGCAGGAGAGGGUAGUGGAAUUCCCGGUGUAGUGGUGAAAUGCGUAGAUAUCGGGAGGAACACCAGUGGCGAAGGCGACUACCUGGCCUGUUCUUGACGCUGAGGCGCGAAAGCGUGGGGAGCAAACAGGG
rnacentral:rRNA from 1 species